CUAGUGCUGUUACACAGCUCAUCCCUGUCGAACCCAAGUGUGGGUCAUCCUUGGUUCAGGCAGAGGCUGUUCAUGGUCUGGUGUGGAUAGUGCAGAGGGAAGCACGGCCAGACUGGGGUCAGAGGACACAGGAAAACGUGCCAGUUGUCAUCACGUAGGCUCUGUCUGUCACUGUCCUCCGUAACUCUGUUUGUGGAGUACUCUCAGAGUGCCUCAUCCCUUUGUUUCUCACCCUGCCCAGUUUGUGCUUCUCUGGCUUGGUCAUCGGUGCACACACCAGCCAGGUGUGGCUCCAGGUGUUUCUGAAUUCAUACUUUUUCAGCAGAUCACGACCAAGCAAGGACAGGUAGGGCAGGAAAUGGUCUUGUCUGUGCUCAGAGGACUUAGCAGCAGCAUUGUACCACUGCAACCAGAUACUUCUUGCUCAACAAAACACACCCCAUACUGAGCUUUAAAACUCUUCUUGCAUAGCUUAAAUUGAUCUCCAAAAUGGCACAAGCUAGAAGAGCAGAAGGGCUUGCCUAUGUUGAUAACAAAGUUAACACUGCUGGGAGGUUAUAUUUUUGCUGAUACACAUCAGUCUUGCCAGCAAAACCUCAAGUCUUAUAAACAGACCACUUUCUUUCUCUUCAUUUCCAUGGUGUUGGUUCAUGGCCCGCUCUCGACUUGUCCAUCCACUUGGAUGCUGGGCAUUUUACAGAGCAGGAACCACUCCCUCUUGAGCAUGAGGAAAUCCUCCAGGAUUGUGAGGGUGCUAACACAGAUGGGACCAGUUAGAGGAUAUUGGAUGUAAUCUCGCUGGCCUUUGACGGCUCCAGAGGCCCCGUGGACUCAGCACCAUCCGUGGUAUUUCUCUGCUGAUGCACCCCGCAGCCUUUCUGUGUGAAACGGCGAGUUGUUCUGCUGAGGCAUGCUUUAAAAAAGGUUUGGAUGCGACCAAAUGAGCAUCUCGAAAGUUUCCUUGAAAUCCUUUCACCUCUGCGGCUCCAGAACGGCUUUGGAAAGGAACCAGAGCAAACAAACCCCAUCCUCUCUGAGAAAUGGCAGCCCGGCUCCCUGCGGGGCGGCAUCGGCCCGAUGUGCCUCCACCCUGCCUCCGGACACACGUCUGUCCGCUUGCCAGAUCCAGGACUGGAAUGUUAUUUCCAGCAUUGCAUCUCAAAGGUUUAAUCACCUUCCCCGAAACCCAUCCUAGGCGUGCAAGCCUCCCGAGUGCCCUUUGCUGAUGGCAGGCUCUCUGCAAAGUGCAGCUGGUAAAUGCUCCUCUUGCACCUUUCUGAGAAAACCCCAGCAAAGCGGCAGCCGCCUGCAUUUGUGACACAUAGGUGUCUGCAAAGCUGGGAGCCACGAGGCAUGUCCGUGUGCUCACAGCCCCCCUUUCUCUGAAAGAAAAACUGGGUGGCUUCUGAGCAUUUCGGGAGACCCCAUCGUGAGCAGGGGCACUGCUCUGCGGAGCCGGGCCACAAAUAAAGAGAAAAUGGGAACUGGUGCCCUGAAGGUA
rnacentral:lncRNA from 1 species